rnacentral:rRNA from 1 species
ACUCCUGCCGAUGGAUAUCUUGGCUCUCGCAACGAUGAAGAACGCAGCGAAAUGCGAUACGUAGUGCGAAUUGCAGAAUUCAGUGAAUCAUCGAACCUUUGAACGCAAAUGGCGCAUCCGGGCUCCGCUCGGACGCAUGUCUCUUCGAGGGGCGCCUCCAUCCUCCUCGGAGCGAGAGAGCUCUCUCUCUCGUCUCCGGAGCCGGCGGCCGCGCGGGGGAGCCUCGGCUCCCUCGCGCGCCCGCCCAAGGCUGCCUUGCGAGCGCGGCGGCGGCGUCUAACCCGCGUCCCCGCCGGAGUGCUAAGUCCACGACUAGACCUCCGGCGGACGCGUGCCCCGUUCUGCCUCGCGACCCCACGCGUGCGCGGUUCCUCUCCUCUCCUCCGGGAGAGAGCGAGGUCCGCCCGCCCCGGCGCGCGGCCGCUCUCUGUGCGGCCGCGCGCCUCGAAACCCGCCAUCGAAUGAGGCAAGACUACCCGCUGAACUUAAGCAUAUCACUAAGCGGAGGAGAAGAAACUAACCAGGAUGCCCCUAGUAAUGGCGAAUGAAGCGGGCUGAGCUCACGCUGCCAAUCUGGAGGCCUCGCGUAUGCAGCGCCCCCCGAAUUGUGGUCUAGAGAGGCGUUAUCGGCCGCGCCCGCCGCUCAAGUCCCUUGGAACAGGGUGUCGGAGAGGGUGAGAAUCCCGUACCGUGGCGGGUUGCGGCCUUACGAUGCGUCCUCGUCGAGUCGGGUUGCUUGGGAUUGCAGCUUGAAUUGGGUGGUAAAUUCCAUCUAAAGCUAAAUACUGGCGAGAGACCGAUAGCGAACAAGUACCGUGAGGGAAAGAUGCAAAGAACUUUGAAAAGAGAGUCAAAGAGUGCUUGAAAUCGGUAGGAGGAAACCCGGAUGGGCCCGGCUUCGGCGCGCCGACUCAGCCUGGGGUUCUCCCCAGGUGCACUUCUGCGCGCCGGGUCAGCCGCGCCUCGGCGCCGCGCCUCAACCCGGGAGCGGGGCUUUACGGCCAGCUCCCGUCCUGGCGCGGCCCGGGGCCCGGCUGACGGAACGGGCCCCUCCGACCCGUCUAGAAACACGGACCAAGGAGUCUGACACGUGUGCGAGUACCCGGGUGGCAAGCCCGCGUGCGGAAUGAAAGUGAAGGGCAUGCCCUGCCAACCGACCUUGACCUGCUGUGAGGGGUUUGAGUGGAGCACACCUGUCGGGACCCGAAAGAUGGUGAACUAUGCCUGGGUAGGGUGAAGCCAGAGGAAACUCUGGUGGAGGCUCGUAGCGAUACUGACGUGCAAAUCGUUCGUCGAAUCUGGGUAUAGGGGCGAAAGACUAAUCGAACCAUCUAGUAGCUGGUUCCCUCCGAAGUUUCCCUCAGGAUAGCUUGAACGCAACGGUUUUGUCAGGUAAAGCGAAUGAUUAGAGGCCUGUGGGCUGAAACAGCUUGCACCUAUUCUCAAACUUUAAAUGGGCAAGAGGCCCGGGAUGCUUGAGUGAUCCCGGGCGGCGAACGGCGCGUUCAAAGUGGGCCAUUUUUGGUAAGCAGAACUGGCGAUGCGGGAUGAACCGAACGCCGCGCUAAGGUACCCAAGUGUCCGCUCAUCAGAUACCACAAAAGGCGUUGGUACCUCCAGACAGCAGGACGGUGGCCAUGGAAGUCGGAACCCGCUAAGGAGUGUGUAACAACUCACCUGCCGAAGGUACUAGCCCUGAAAAUGGAUGGCGCUCAAGCGGACCACCGAUGCGCGGCCGCCGGCGCGAGCGCGAGGCGCCGGCGAGUAGGAGGGCGCGGGGCUCGCGGCGCAGCCUUGGGCGCGAGCCUGGGUGAAGCGGGCCCCGGUGCAGAUCUUGGUGGUAGUAGCAAAUAUUCAAAUGAGAACUUUGAAGACUGAAGUGGAGAAAGGUUCCGUGUGAACAGCAGUUGGACACGGGUGAGCCGACCCUAAGAGACAGGAAAACUCCGCCGAACGCGGCUGGUUCUGUCAGCCCGUCCGUCGAAAGGGAAUCGGGUUAAUAUUCCCGAGCCAGCGCGUGGAUGGUGGGCGGCGACGCGAACGAACCCGGAGACGCCGGCGGGAGCCCUGGGAAGAGUUCUCUUUUCUUCUUAACUGCCUCCUGCCCUGGAAUCGGUUUAGCCGGAGCGAGGGCUACACGGCAGGCAAAGCACCCUAAGUCUUGGGGUGUCCGGCGCGCUCCCGACGGCCCGUGAAAAUCCGGGGGAGCGGUUCGUUCUCACGCCUGGUCGUACUCAUAACCGCAUCAGGUCUCCAAGGUGAACAGCCUCUAGUCGAUAGAGCAAUGUAGGUAAGGGAAGUCGGCAAAAUGGUUCCGCAACCUCGGGAGAAGGAAUGGCUCUGAAGGCUGGGCGCAGGGGUCCUAGGCUCGAGGCCGGCUGGCUGCGCGGGGACUACGGCCUCACGGCUGCGGAUCCCGCGCGGCCGUCCGGCGGACGGCCUAGGAGCGCUCCGGCUCUCCCUGCGCGACGAACAGCCGCUUCAGAACUGGCGCGGACAAGGGGAAUCCGACUGUUUAAUUAAAACAAAGCAUUGCGAUGGCCCGCGAGGGUGCUGACGCAAUGUGAUUUCUGCCCAGUGCUCUGAAUGUCAAAGUGAAGAAAUUCAACCAAGCGCGGGUAAACGGCGGGAGUAACUAUGACUCUCUUAAGGUAGCCAAAUGCCUCGUCAUCCAAUUAGUGACGCGCAUGAAUGGAUUCGUGAGAUUCCCACUGUCCCUAUCUACUGUCUAGCGAAACCACAGCCAAGGGAACGGGCUUGGAAGAAUCAGCGGGGAAAGAAGACCCUGUUGAGCUUGACUCUAGUCUGUUACUGUGGAACGACUUGAUGGGUGUAGAAUAUGCGGGAGGGGCAACCCGACAGUGAAAUACCGCAACCGUCAACGUUGUUUUACUUACUCGGUGGCGCGGAGGGAGGCUCGCCUCACUUCUGGAUCCAAGCCGCUUCGUGCGCGCGAUCCGCGUCGGGGACACUAACAGGUGGGGAGUUUGGCUGGGGCGGCACGUCUGUUAAAAAAUAACGCAGGCGCCCGAUUUUGAGCUCAAUGAGAACAGAAAUCUCAUGUGGACCGAAAGGGGAAAAGCUCGGUUGAUUUUGAUUUUCAGUACGAAUACAAACCGCGAAAGCGUGGCCUAUCGAUCCUCUCGUCUUUGGGAAUUUCAAGCUAGAGGUGUCAGAAAAGUUACCACAGGGAUAACUGGCUUGUGGCUGCCAAGCGUUCAUAGCGACGUAGCUUUUUGAUCCUUCGAUGUCGGCUCUUCCUAUCACUGCCUCGCAGCGGGGGCCAAAUGCAGGAUUGUUCACCCACCAACAGGGAACGUGAGCUGGGUUUAGACCGUCGUGAGACAGGUUAGUUUUACCCUACUGCUGUCUGUUUUUCUACGGUAAUUUGGUUCAGUACGAGAGGAACCACCAAUUCGCAUCAUCGGUAUAGCCGCCGCCGGAAACGGCGAUGCGGCGAAGCUGCCAUGCGCCGGAUUAUAACUGAACGCCUCUAAGUUAGAAUCCAUGCCGGAAGGAAAGCCACCUACCGGCCCGGGGACGCCACGAGCAACGGUAGCACUGCCUGAGCCGCGAGCGACCACAAUUCACGGACCCGGGCCGACGAAUCCCUUGCAGACGACUUGAAUAAGGAACGGGGUAUUGUACGCGGCAGAGUGGCCUUGUUGCCACGAUCCGCUGAGAUUCAGCCUUGGUUCUGACGAUUUGUUGCGCGCGCGCAACAACCCUCAGGGCCUCUCCCGUUCCUCAGUCGCUCUCUCGGCGCUCUCGCCCCCUCGCCUCUCCUCCGAGCCUCACUCGCUCGGGGGCGGAGCCAAGGGGGCGAGAGCGCGAUUUCUGCCCAAGGCAGCGCGCAGGCCACUGCGCAGACACACCCGGCUCUCCCCGAGCCGCCACUGGGCGCUCCCGCGGUCCCCUCCGGGCUGAAUGCAGCCUCCGGAGCGGGCGGCGCGAGCGUCUAAGUCUACUCAGAGCCUUCCACGCUCUUCUUUGCGUUCCGAAGCACACACCGCGCUCCUCUGUAGUGCAUCGCCCGGCCAACUCACUUGCCCACUGUCAUUGCCCCUGCCGCCCUCUCGCUCCACAGCCGCCACCGCCAUCUCUCACUGAGGCCGCCGCCGCCCUGUCACCACCGUUACCGUUACCUCCACUGCCCUCGCCACCGCCCUCGCCACCGCCCUCCCCCCCCACGCCGCCGCUACCAUUCCGGCCACCCUCCCCACCCUCAUCCCCACCUUGCCCCCGCCGCCCGUUGCAGCUGCAAUCCCAACCAAAGGCGGACGCCGGUGCCGCCCUCGACGCCCCUUCGCCGCCCGGCGCCGCCCUCGCCUGCGCCCUCACGGCCUACCCUCGCCAUCGCCGCUGCUGUCACCGCCGCCCUGGCCUGCCCCCGCUCUUGCCGUCGCCGUCGAGCCCGCCCUCCGAAGCUAGCUGCUCUUCUUUGCGUUUUCCGAAGCAUGCACUCCGCUAGCAUCACCCACAAGUCACCUCCGUUGCCACUGUCCUUGGACCUCUUGCGCACUUGGCCGAGGCGUCGCCAGGCACGUACGCCGCUCCCUCCAACCCCGUGUCGGCCUGCCGCCGCCCUCACCUCCAGCCGCGCCGCGCCGCCACCCUCACCUCCACCCUCCUCACCACCGUCUCCACCGCCGCUGCUCUCACCACCCUCGCCGCCGCCCUUGCCACCACACUCCGAGCCGCCACGGGGCGCUCCCGCGGUCCCCUCCGGGCUGAAUGAGAAUGUAGCUUUCGAAGCGGGCGGCGCGAGCGUCUUAUCCUCAGAGCUUUCCGUGCUCUUCUUUGCGUUCCGAAGCAUGCACUCGACUCCUCUAGCGUCACCCACAAGUCACCUCCAUUCCCACUGUCCUUGCGCACUUGGCCGAGGCGUUCGCCAGGCAGGCACGGGGCUCCCUCCAACCCACGUGCCCGCGCGCCGCCCACCUCCGCCCACCCGCCCUCCGGCAUGCCGUCCCGCCCCUCGCACUGUGUGGAACGGGCUAGCUCAAGGUUGCGUUAGAUUGUCAAUGGAGAAUGGCCGCGUUCUCGCCCCUUUCCUGUAUAAGUGGGUCAGAGGACGAAUGCGCACCGGAUCUUCGAGGACUUCAAAGUCGGCCGCGCCCCACGGCUAUCCCGCCGGCUCUCGAGUGUCGCAGCGCGACGCGCUUCCACCCCUCGACUCCGCGCUGCGAGUCGAUUGGGAGACGACGCUCGGCCACCGCCAACUCCACCCUGACGUGUCGCACAUGCGCCGAGUGUCCCCUCCGAGGGUGUCCUUGCAUAGUAUACCUGGUUGCGAGUUAAAAAAAGCCCAUUCCGCGCCCGCAGCCAGCAGCAAACAUGCCGUUCUGGUGCCCCGAGGCUGGCCAGAGGACGACUCAAAAUGCAAAAUCGGAAAGACAUCACGAGGGGCCGUAUAAACAGUGCCGCAGCGGCCCGGGACACUAACAGUGAAUUGCUGCCACUCGCCCGGCCUCCUACCCCUCGGGGUCGCCCGGAAAGUGGGCUUGCGCACCGGCGCCCCCCCCAGCACGCCGACCCGAGGUGUACCCUCCGGCCACCUGGGAGGGGAGCGCUCUCCCAAUUUGGCCCAUUGGCUUCACCAUGAUGGAUACGGAGGUGGCCAGCCCUUGGCUGUGCACCUGCGGCGCGAAGAGGAGGUGAUCUCGGCGGACGACGGCCAUGCCGAGAGCGGGUGCAGCGCGGAAGAGGGUGCGCAGCGCGUCGCGGCCGCGCGCUUGGGAGCCGGGGGGAUGGCCAGAGGGGAUGGGACGCCUGCAUGUCCUCGAAGCUCCCACCCGCAUACGCAAGCGCGGGGAGGGAGUUUUGGAGGGUCACCCAAGGACGCGCAUGGCGAGUGACAAUUUAACGCAACCUGCCCCCUCGCUGGUUUCUCAUCGUGCGCGCCGCGCCGCCCCCCCUCUCGCCUCCAGCCGCCCUCACCGCGCCGCCAAAAUCUCGCUUCUCCAGACCACCGCCCUCACCCCGUACCACGGUAGGGAAGAAUAAGUAAGAAGAUACACCGCAACGCCACGCCACGUCCGGUCUGCAACGUUCACGUGUCACAACUUUGCCACCCUACAGCAUAACGCCACUUGCAGCCUGACCCCUGCGCCUGCCACCGCAACCGCCGCCGCAGCUACGCGCGGCGGCUCCGAGUGCGAGCGCAAGCGCCGCCGCCGCCGCAAUGACGAGGAGCGGCGCAUCCAAAAACACCAGCCCGCCCAAUUCCCAGCCCACCCAGCGGCGCAGCGGCGCAGCGGCACGGCGCGCGAGCACGGUAGCGUCGCAGACAGGGCCCGGCAGCGCGCGGUCACUCCCUCCUGCAUCGCCAGCUCGGUCCCGGCACGGGUCAAGCUGCCGCGCCGCAGCGUCUGCAAAGAUGGGCCACCCCCUCGGCUUGAUCAGCAACUCCUCGAGGGAGCCUCGGUCGAGCGGCGGGAAGUACUCGCGCACCCGCCUACGCCGCCACCAGCGGCCACACCGGCUGCUCGCAUUGAGCGCCGCGUAGGGCCCCGCCCACCCGCAUUGU